GACGGAGGUUGCAAGCGUUGUUCGGAAUAACUGGGCGUAAAGGGGGCGCAGGCGGUUUGGUAAGUCUGAGGUGAAAUCCCGGAGCUCAACUCCGGAAAUGCCCUGGAUACUGCCAAACUUGAGUAUGCCAGAGGAGAGUGGAAUUCCUGGUGUAGCGGUGAAAUGCGUAGAUAUCAGGAGGAACACCGGUGGCGAAAGCGGCUCUCUGGGACAUUACUGACGCUGAGGCCCGAAAGCGUGGGGAGCGAACAGG
rnacentral:rRNA from 1 species